rnacentral:rRNA from 1 species
AGCAGCCGCGGUAAUUCCAGCUCCAAUAGCGUAUAUUAAAGUUGUUGCAGUUAAAAAGCUCGUAGUUGAAUUUCGGGAUUUAUCCGUUGGUCGGGCUUUUUGGUCUGUACUGGCGUGAUGGAUUCCUACCUUCUGAAUAACCGGCAUGCCAUUAAUUUGGUGCGCCGGGGAAGCAGGACUGUUACCUUGAAAAAAUUAGAGUGCUUAAAGCAGGCUUAUGCCUGAAUACAUUAGCAUGGAAUAAUGAAAUAGGACGCAUGGUUCUAUUUUGUUGGUUUCUAGGAUCACCGUAAUGAUUAAUAGGGAUAGUUGGGGGCAUUAGUAUUCAAUUGUCAGAGGUGAAAUUCUUGGAUUUAUUGAAGACUAACUUCUGCGAAAGCAUUUGCCAAGGAUGUUUUCAUUAAUCAAGAACGAAAGUUAGGGGAUCGGAGACGAUCAGAUACCGUCGUAGUCUUAACCAUAAACUAUGCCGACUAGGGAUCGGACGAUGUUAAUUUUUAAUGACUCGUUCGGCGCCUUA